rnacentral:rRNA from 1 species
AACGAACGCUGGCGGCAUGCCUAACACAUGCAAGUCGAACGAGACCUUCGGGUCUAGUGGCGCACGGGUGCGUAACGCGUGGGAACCUGCCCUUAGGUUCGGAAUAACUCCCCGAAAGGGGUACUAAUACCGGAUAAUGUCUUCGGACCAAAGAUUUAUCGCCUUUGGAUGGGCCCGCGUUGGAUUAGCUAGUUGGUAGGGUAAAAGCCUACCAAGGCGACGAUCCAUAGCUGGUCUGAGAGGAUGAUCAGCCACACUGGGACUGAGACACGGCCCAGACUCCCACGGGAGGCAGCAGUGGGGAAUAUUGGACAAUGGGCGAAAGCCUGAUCCAGCAAUGCCGCGUGAGUGAUGAAGGCCUUAGGGUUGUAAAGCUCUUUUACCCGGGAUGAUAAUGACAGUACCGGGAGAAUAAGCUCCGGCUAACUCCGUG